UGGGGAAUUUUGGACAAUGGGCGAAAGCCUGAUCCAGCAAUGCCGCGUGUGUGAAGAAGGCCUUCGGGUUGUAAAGCACUUUUGUCCGGAAAGAAAUCCUUGGCUCUAAUACAGUCGGGGGAUGACGGUACCGGAAGAAUAAGCACCGGCUAACUACGUGCCAGCAGCCGCGGUAAUACGUAGGGUGCAAGCGUUAAUCGGAAUUACUGGGCGUAAAGCGUGCGCAGGCGGUUUGCUAAGACCGAUGUGAAAUCCCCGGGCUCAACCUGGGAACUGCAUUGGUGACUGGCAGGCUAGAGUAUGGCAGAGGGGGGUUAGAAUUCCACGUGUAGCAGUGAAAUGCGUAGAGAUGUGGAGGAAUACCGAUGGCGAAGGCAGCCCCCUGGGCCAAUACUGACGCUCAUGCACGAAAGCGUGGGGGAGCAAACAGGAUUAGAUACCCUGGUAGUCCACGCCCUAAACGAUGUCAACUAGUUGUUGGGAUUCAUUUCCUAGUACGUAGCUAACGCGUGAAGUUGACCGCCUGGGGAGUACGGUCGCAAGAUU
rnacentral:rRNA from 1 species